GAAAAGAAAAUAACAAUGAUUUCCCUAGUAACGGCGAGUGAAGAGGAAAGAGCUCAAAGUUGGAACCUGUUUGGCUUAGCUAAACCGGAUUGUAAACUGUAGAAGUGUUUUCCAGACACGCCUGGUAAAAAAGUCCUUUGGAACAGGGCAUCAUAGAGGGUGAGAAUCCCGUCAUUGGCCAGAGCUGUUGUCUUUUGUGAUACAUUUUCAAAGAGUCAGGUUGUUUGGGAAUGCAGCCUAAAUUGGGUGGUAAAUCUCACCUAAAGCUAAAUAUUUGCGAGAGACCGAUAGCGAACAAGUACCGUGAGGGAAAGAUGAAAAGAACUUUGAAAAGAGAGUUAAACAGUAUGUGAAAUUGUUAAAAGGGAACCGUUUGGAGCCAGACUGGCUUAACUGUAAUCAAUCUAGGCUUUGGCCUGGAUGCACUUGCGGUUUAUGCCGGCCAACGACAGUUUUGUUUGAGGGAAAAAAUUACAUUGAAUGUGGCCCUUCGGGGUGUUAUAGCUUUGUAAAAAAUACCUUGGACUGGACUGAGGAACGCAGUGAAUGCCUUUAGGCAAGAUUGCUGGGUGCUUUCGCUAAUAAAUGCUAGAAUUUCUGCUUCGGGUGGUGCUAGUGUUUAAAGGAGGAACUCGCUUAGUAUAUUUUUUAUUCGCUUAGGUUGUUGGCUUAAUGACUCUAAAU
rnacentral:rRNA from 1 species